rnacentral:rRNA from 1 species
CUACGGGAGGCAGCAGUGGGGAAUCUUGCGCAAUGGGCGAAAGCCUGACGCAGCAACGCCGCGUGGGGGAUGAAGGCUCUCGGGUUGUAAACCCCUUUCAGCAGGGACGAAUUUUGACGGUACCUGCAGAAGAAGCCCCGGCUAACUACGUGCCAGCAGCCGCGGUAAUACGUAGGUGGCGAACGUUAUCCGGAAUCACUGGGCGUAAAGGGUCCGCAGGUGGCAUGUCAAGUCGAUUGUGAAAGCUCCCGGCUCAACUGGGAGAGGACGGUCGAAACUGGCAAACUAGAGUCCGACAGAGGUCGGCGGAAUUCCCGGUGUAGUGGUGGAAUGCGUAGAUAUCGGGAGGAACGCCAAAAGCGAAAGCAGCCGGCUGGGUCGAGACUGACACUGAGGGACGAAAGCGUGGGUAGCGAACAGGAUUAGAUACCCUGGUAGUCC